AUGAUAUUGCGACAUACAGAAGAAGGGAAAGAAGUAAAGAACUUUAAAGGACUGGACAGGGCUGUUAAGCAUUUUGAGGCUGGAGAUAUUUCACAAAUUAAGACAGCUCAGUCUUGCCCAGACAUGCAGUCACAUAGGGGGGCUGCUUUUUCAUCUGCACUACCUUCAUCUGACAGAGGUCCUGAAGUCAGAGAGCGCUACAUCAAAGAUCUGCCAGUGGAAUGUUCCUCGUUCGAUAAAAAAUGGACCCUAAACCCUUUAAAGAGUGGAACUUUGGCAGACCAAAGAUUUCAGCUGAAGGGGAACUCCAGUAUCGAGAGAGAAAACAAAUCAACUUUGAUCCCCGGCAUCCCGAAAAGAGGGCAUUUAACCAACUGA
rnacentral:sRNA from 1 species